AGCCACUAGAGAAAUGCAAAUCACUGUAUAAAAGCUGUACAUGCAGUCUGAUUAUUUUGCAAGACUGAGGCUU